rnacentral:rRNA from 1 species
UGGGGAAUAUUGCACAAUGGGCGCAAGCCUGAUGCCGCCAUGCCGCGUGUAUGAAGAAGGCCUUCGGGUUGUAAAGUACUUUCAGCGAGGAGGAAGGCGGUAAGGUUAAUAACCUUAUCGAUUGACGUUACUCGCAGAAGAAGCACCGGCUAACUCCGUGCCAGCAGCCGCGGUAAUACGGAGGGUGCAAGCGUUAAUCGGAAUUACUGGGCGUAAAGCGCACGCAGGCGGUCUGUCAAGUCGGAUGUGAAAUCCCCGGGCUCAACCUGGGAACUGCAUUCGAAACUGGCAGGCUAGAGUCUUGUAGAGGGGGGUAGAAUUCCAGGUGUAGCGGUGAAAUGCGUAGAGAUCUGGAGGAAUACCGGUGGCGAAGGCGGCCCCCUGGACAAAGACUGACGCUCAGGUGCGAAAGCGUGGGGAGCAAACA